AGUGAUAAUUGCCAAAGCCCUGUUGCCUGUGGAGAGGGUGAUGCUUGACUUUCUUGUACAGCUGCAGUUUGUGUGGUGAAGGUGCUCCCACAAUGUGGUUGGGAUACUACAGGUGGACAUUCAGAUGGUAAUCCCAGUCAUUGUAACACCAAACUCUGAUUGAAUUAGUCAGUUCAUCAGGACCUGUAUGUUCGCAUUGUGUAGACAGGGCUCCAGUGGCUUCAUGGGGACUACAACUCCCACAAUCCCUGAGGCAGGGACCACGCGUGUGUACAUGUACAGAAUGUGGGCACGUUUUGGAACAUAUGCUUUGGGGUGCUAGAUGGUGAGGAUUUGCAGACUGAAAUCUCAAACUCAUGUGCAGAUUGUGAUUAAGUUAACCAGCAUUUGAAGAACCAAAGAUGGAGAAUGACUCCGCCAAAAUCCUGCAACACUCUCCCUCACAGCAUUGUCGGUCUCUCUGCACCAAAUGGACUGUGAAUGGCACAAGACAGCAGCUCACUACCAUCUUCUCAAGGGUAACUAGAGAUGGGGAAUAAAUGCUGGCUGAGCCAGUGAUGCCCAUAUCCUGGAAAUGGGUUCUAUCUCUAGUUGCUGAACCCCAGCUGAUGUUACUGCAGGAUGGUGAGGGAUGCUGAGUGCAUCCUCCAGGAGGCAGCACCAUCACAUUACCCCUGCCUACACCCACACAGUAACACCGCAACGUCACUGGAACAAAAGGCAGUGAAACCAAAGGAGGACUUAGAUAUAGUUCUUUGAGGUAAAGGGGAUUGGAACACAGCAGGAACAGGAGACUGAGCUGGAUGGUCAGCUGUUUCCCAUUGAGUGGUGAAGCAGGAUUGAAAGGCUGAAUGGUCUCCUCCUGCUGCUAUCUCCCAGGUAUGUAUAUAGUCAUGGAGCCCAGGUAGGAAGGAGUGGGCAGGGAUUCUCCAGGAGAUUGCACUUCCACAACAGUGGAGGGAUGGUUUGAUCGAUUUUAUUUAACAUUUAUCUUUAACACUAGAUUUGUAAAUUUUGGCUUAAAAAUGUUGUACAAGUUUUUUUGCACAGCAAAUAAAAUUAAAGAAAAUAAA